UUGAUGAACUGACGAGGCCUAUACAGCGGCCCCGCGACACUGAGACCCUCGCAUUAGAGGCGGCCUCGACGAACCAAGAACAAAAGGCCGGAGAAUUGAAACCUACGUCCUCGGCAAUGGUUGACUGGGGGCCGUUUCAAAAGCCGCGGUCGUGGUAUGCCCUACAUCAAAAGCUCGUUAACGCCGUCUACGGCGAACGCGAGUUAGAAGACGACCGUCCCGGCCCCGGUUU
rnacentral:misc_RNA from 1 species